AUUGAACGCUGGCGGCAGGCUUAACACAUGCAAGUCGAGCGGGGGAGGUUGCUUCGGUAACUGACCUAGCGGCGGACGGGUGAGUAAUGCUUAGGAAUCUGCCUAUUAGUGGGGGACAACAUUCCGAAAGGAAUGCUAAUACCGCAUACGCCCUACGGGGGAAAGCAGGGGAUCUUCGGACCUUGCGCUAAUAGAUGAGCCUAAGUCGGAUUAGCUAGUUGGUGGGGUAAAGGCCUACCAAGGCGACGAUCUGUAGCGGGUCUGAGAGGAUGAUCCGCCACACUGGGACUGAGACACGGCCCAGACUCCUACGGGAGGCAGCAGUGGGAAAUAUUGGACAAUGGGCGGAAGCCUGAUCCAGCCAUGCCGCGUGUGUGAAGAAGGCCUUUUGGUUGUAAAGCACUUUAAGCGAGGAGGAGGCUCUUAAGGUUAAUACCCUUGAUGAGUGGACGUUACUCGCAGAAUAAGCACCGGCUAACUCUGUGCCAGCAGCCGCCGUAACAC
rnacentral:rRNA from 1 species